rnacentral:rRNA from 1 species
UGGGGAAUAUUGCACAAUGGGCGAAAGCCUGAUGCAGCUAUGCCGCGUGUAUGAAGAAGGCCUUAGGGUUGUAAAGUACUUUCAGCAGGGAAGAAGUAGAAUAAAGAUAACAUCUUUUUCUUUUGACGUUACCUGAAGAAGAAGCACCGGCUAACUCCGUGCCAGCAGCCGCGGUAAUACGGAGGGUGCUAGCGUUAAUCAGAAUUACUGGGCGUAAAGAGCUCGUAGGUGGUUUAUUAAGUCAGAUGUGAAAUCCCUAGGCUUAACCUAGGAACUGCAUUUGAAACUAGUUUACUAGAGUAUCGUAGAGGGAGGUAGAAUUCUAGGUGUAGCGGUGAAAUGCGUAGAUAUCUGGAGGAAUACCAGUGGCGAAAGCGACCUCCUAAACGAAUACUGACACUGAGGUGCGAAAGCGUGGGGAGCAAACAGG